rnacentral:rRNA from 1 species
UGGGGAAUCUUGCGCAAUGGGCGAAAGCCUGACGCAGCCAUGCCGCGCGAAUGAUGAAGGUCUUAGGAUUGUAAAAUUCUUUCACCGGGGACGAUAAUGACGGUACCCGGAGAAGAAGCCCCGGCUAACUUCGUGCCAGCAGCCGCGGUAAUACGAAGGGGGCUAGCGUUGCUCGGAAUUACUGGGCGUAAAGGGAGCGUAGGCGGACAUUUAAGUCAGGGGUGAAAUCCCGGGGCUCAACCUCGGAAUUGCCUUUGAUACUGGGUGUCUUGAGUGUGAGAGAGGUACGUGGAACUCCGAGUGUAGAGGUGAAAUUCGUAGAUAUUCGGAAGAACACCAGUGGCGAAGGCGACAUACUGGCUCAUUACUGACGCUGAGGCUCGAAAGCGUGGGGAGCAAACAGGAUUAGAUACCCUGGUAGUCCACGCCGUAAACGAUGAUUGCUAGUUGUCGGGAUGCAUGCAUUUCGGUGACGCAGCUAACGCAUUAAGCAAUCCGCCUGGGGAGUACGGUCGCAAGAUUAAAACUUAAAUGAAUUGACGGGGUCAUAGCUGUUUCCUG